AAAUAAGAAGCAAAAUUUGCAUUUAGUUUCGACCUAAUCUUUGGUAUAAUAAAAAAUACCCUUAUUUU
rnacentral:tRNA from 1 species